rnacentral:rRNA from 1 species
AUUGAACGCUGGCGGCAGGCCUAACACAUGCAAGUCGAGCGCGAAAGGCCUUCGGGCUGAGUAGAGCGGCGGACGGGUGAGUAACGCGUAGGAAUCUACCUGGUAGUGGGGGACAACUUGGGGAAACUCAAGCUAAUACCGCAUACGCCCUAUGGGGGAAAGUGGGGGACCUUCGGGCCUCACGCUAUCAGAUGAGCCUGCGUAGGAUUAGCUAGUUGGUGAGGUAAAGGCUCACCAAGGCGACGAUCCUUAGCUGGUCUGAGAGGAUGAUCAGCCACACUGGGACUGAGACACGGCCCAGACUCCUACGGGAGGCAGCAGUGGGGAAUAUUGCGCAAUGGGGGCAACCCUGACGCAGCCAUGCCGCGUGUGUGAAGAA